rnacentral:rRNA from 1 species
AUUGAACGCUGGCGGCAGGCCUAACACAUGCAAGUCGAGCGGAUGAAGGGAGCUUGCUCCUGGAUUCAGCGGCGGACGGGUGAGUAAUGCCUAGGAAUCUGCCUGGUAGUGGGGGAUAACGUCCGGAAACGGGCGCUAAUACCGCAUACGUCCUGAGGGAGAAAGUGGGGGAUCUUCGGACCUCACGCUAUCAGAUGAGCCUAGGUCGGAUUAGCUAGUUGGUGGGGUAAAGGCCUACCAAGGCGACGAUCCGUAACUGGUCUGAGAGGAUGAUCAGUCACACUGGAACUGAGACAGGGUCCAGACUCCUACGGGAGGGAGCAGUGGGGAAUAUUGGACAAUGGGCGAAAGCCUGAUCCAGCCAUGCCGCGUGUGUGAAGAAGGUCUUCGGAUUGUAAAGCACUUUAAGUUGGGAGGAAGGGCAGUAAGUUAAUACCUUGCUGUUUUGACGUUACCAACAGAAUAAGCACCGGCUAACUUCGUG